CUAAAGUCUAAGAAGACUACAAUACAAAGCUCCAUACAUUCAUACACACAACACUUGUUAACCAUCAAUAGGAAGUUCCUCCUUGGAACUCUUUUCCAUCACUUUCAUUCAUAAUUUUAACUUCAUAUAACAUCACAUACAUCUACAUGAAACCAAUCAAUAUCCAUCAAAAAAAUCAGAAACCAUCCAUCAAGAAGUACCAAAAUAGCAUAAAACAACAUUUAACAAAACCCCCAGACUGGCGCUCAGGCUUCAGGUGCCUAGAAACUGGCGCUCAACACCCAAAAACAGUGAGAUAGCGCCCAAGCACUCCAAGAGUGGCGCCCAAUGCACGAAAAUAGAAACUUAGCGCCCAGGCGCCAUGACAGUGGCACUCAGCGCCAUGACAGAUCAAAAUACUCUUUAAACCUGACUUUGAGCACUUCUCACACAACUUCCACUUUCCCCUAGGACCCUCUAGACACUGAGAAAUCUCAGAAAACACACCUCUAACUCAAAUUUACUACUUCAAACCCAAAAUCCCUUCUCUAAGCUACCCAAAACCAUUUCUACUCUUUCCAACAUCCAGUUCAGUAAACCAACAGCAGGAACAAGUCUUAAUACACUAGAUAACACCUCCAAACACCUCUGUUUCCUCACAGCCUUUCUGUUUUCACUUUCCACUAGUUAAAACCCCCAUAAUGUACUAAAAUAUACUAAUAAACCCAACCUAUUAAGCAAUUAUCACUUCCGUAACAGAUUUAACUUAUUUAAAUGCCUAGACAAGUCAUAAUUCGUCUAAUAACAAACUCUCAACUUCCAAAAACAGUUCACACCCCUUGCUUCAAAAUCUCACUACUCAAAACCCCAAAUUUACACUAAAAACACUCUAAACCCUCAACAAUGAACUACCUCUUUGUUCUAUAUCAGAUUUCAAUCAAACCACACCUCUAACAAGUCUCAAAUAACCCCAUAACAGCCCUGAAACAGUUGCUUUCUCACCCCAACACCUAUUUCUCAAACUCACCGAUCAAAACCUCCCUAGUUGUUAUUACUUACCCAAAAAAUUAUUUGCAGGAAUCUGCUUCCAAUCAACUAAGCUUGCAACCAUUGUGAUAGGAUUCUGAUCCUAAAAGAGGAUUACAGCUGGAAGUAUAGGCAAGAUAGAGGUGAAUAGCAUCCCAGCUAAUUGAAUUGUGGUGUGGUGAACACUUGGCACAGUUAUCAGUUUUAGGUUAUGAAAGAGAAAGAGAUAGGGAAGAAAAAUGGGUAAGAAUUGAACUGGUUUGGGGGAGAAUAGAUCACCAAAAUACCUCAAGUAUAUAGCUCACCUUCUAUCUUGCAAUCACACUAAAAAUUAGUGGAGAGAAGACUAAACAAUGCACUUGGCUGUUCUUUCCUUUUCUUCACUGUUAAUGGUUUAAUUUUUAUCAAACUCGUACCACACCUCCUCCCAACUUCAGGGAGCUUUUCAUGACCGCAAUUGAGAAAGUCAGCUAAGAAACUGUUACAUGUCCUAAUAACCAAUUCAGUGAGCUGCUAUUUAUUCAGUAUUUUUAUGAGGGAUUGAGCAUAAUAGACCGGAAUUUGAUAAAUGCAGCUGGUGGUGGAACAAUCAUGAAUAAGACUGCUGAUGAAGCCAGAAAAUUGAUUUCUACUAUGGCUGGGAAUUAUCAUCAGUUUGCUCCAAGAAACGACAUGAGAUGCAAGUCCAUUCAACAGCUGAGACUUCAAAAGUGAAUAACUCUUCGGGAGACACAGCUGUGGUUACAUUAUGCGACUGAGCUAACUGCUGUGAUGAAACAAGUUGAUAUAAAUCAAAUUGCUGCUGGACUGUUUCAAAGUCAAGGUUUUUAUAAGUCACCACCACAAAGAAGGUUUUGCUGUUACUGUAUUUAUUGCUGAGUGUUAAUUCUUUUCUUUUAACAUUUUCUGUUUUCAGAUUGUGUAUUAUUGCUGUUUUCACUUCUGUUUUCCAGUUUCGUUGUGAAAUACAGCCUACAUAAGGCGUGCUUCUGCACAUUUGUUACUCGUUGGGUGCAUCAGGAAUUUGAUUAUAGCCACUCCCCAUACAUCAUAAUUAUGUUGAGUUUUGACUCAAAGUAAGCUGGGCUUGAGCAGUAAUGACUUUUACUUAAAGAUCAAGAGGCUCUUGCAUGAAUAGAUUAAAUCAUUGUUGAAUUGAAACCUUCGCCAACAGCACAAGCUUUGGGAAUAAUUGGCCCUUCACAUGGUAGUUUACAACUUAAGCUCUAGACCAGGGACAAUUAUUAGAUUUAUGGUACUACGUCAGGAGUCUUAUUACUUAUAGGGAUAGGGUUGUGCUAGUUUUACUACAACAGCACAUUACCUUAUUGUUAGUGUAUAUCAACGAUAAGGGGUAUUAGAUUAGUUUUCUAUGCACAUCUAUCAUCACGCUUACAUCAAUCUAACCUCAUAUUAUUCACAGUAUCUCUAUUCUAUUUCCCUCUUUUUCCACCUAAACCUUAAUUUCAACAAUCAUAACAGAUAAAAUAAAACAUAUAAUAAUAUAACAGCCAAACCU
rnacentral:sRNA from 1 species